rnacentral:rRNA from 1 species
GACGAACGCUGGCGGCGUGCUUAACACAUGCAAGUCGAACGGAAAGGCCCUGCUUUUGUGGGGUGCUCGAGUGGCGAACGGGUGAGUAACACGUGAGUAACCUGCCCUUGACUUUGGGAUAACUUCAGGAAACUGGGGCUAAUACCGGAUAGGGGCUCCUGCUGCAUGGUGGGGGGUGGAAAGUUUCGGCGGUUGGGGAUGGACUCGCGGCUUAUCAGCUUGUUGGUGGGGUAGUGGCUUACCAAGGCUUUGACGGGUAGCCGGCCUGAGAGGGUGACCGGCCACAUUGGGACUGAGAUACGGCCCAGACUCCUACGGGAGGCAGCAGUGGGGAAUAUUGCACAAUGGGCGGAAGCCUGAUGCAGCAACGCCGCGUGCGGGAUGACGGCCUUCGGGUUGUAAACCGCUUUCGCCUGUGACGAAGCGUGAGUGACGGUAAUGGGUAAAGAAGCACCGGCUAACUACGUG